UUGUGUGCAUAAAUAAUUGACGCUUGUGUAAAAGUAGAUAUUAAUUUUAAAAAAAAUUAACUUCUUAAAGUUUCUUGUAAAUAUUCUAUUAAUUUAAAUGAUAAAUUUGCAAAAUAUUAAAAAUUAUCUAAAAAAAUUUAGACCGGAAAAAAAUUUUGGCACAACACAAUUUGAGUUAAAGGAAGUAAUAACAAUUUGUACAUAAAAAUGAAGAUGUAUUUAUAUAUAAAUUAUUAUUUCUGUUUUUAUUUGACAUUAAAUAAAAAAUGUAAUUAGUUAAUAUAUAAAUAUAUUUACGAUGUAAUUAUUCGUAUGAGUGUUGUAAAAAAUAGCGACUAAAAAUAUCGAUAAUUGUAAAUUUAAAUCGUUUGCCAUUUAGUUAUUACGUGAAAAAAAUCGCUCGUGUAGAGGAUAACUAUAGAAAUAAUUGGUAAUUGAUAUAAAUGAUAAUAAAAAUAAAUCUAACGGUGGGGAUGUGGAGAUUAAAUAUAGAAUGUAUAAUAUUAGCGUAAAGUUAAAUUGUAUGAAAUGAGUGAAGAUAUGUAAAUGCGAUUGAUAAUAUGGAGAUCGUGCUGAUUAAAAUUUGUGAUGAAAGUUAAAAUAGAGUUGUGAAGAGAAGAAAUGUUUGUCGGCAAGAUAAGAUGUGUUCGCAAAUUUAACCAACAGACUACGAAUCUUUAUAUUAUUAUCUAGUCAUCAAGUGAUAAUAAAAGAAAAUUUAUCAUAA